rnacentral:rRNA from 1 species
GACGAACGCUGGCGGCGUGCCUAACACAUGCAAGUCGAACGGAGACAUUUUUGUAGUAAUAUGAGGAUGUCUUAGUGGCGGACGGGUGAGUAACGCGUGAGGAACCUGCCUCGGAGUGGGGGAUAACACAGGGAAACCUGUGCUAAUACCGCAUAAUGUAGCGAGAUGGCAUCAUCUUGUUACCAAAGAUUUAUCGCUCCGGGAUGGCCUCGCGUCUGAUUAGCUAGUUGGCGGGGUAACGGCCCACCAAGGCUGCGAUCAGUAGCCGGACUGAGAGGUUGAACGGCCACAUUGGGACUGAGACACGGCCCAGACUCCUACGGGAGGCAGCAGUGGGGAAUAUUGCGCAAUGGGGGAAACCCUGACGCAGCAACGCCGCGUGAAGGAUGAAGGUUUUCGGAUUGUAAACUUCUUUGACGAGGGACGAAAGAAAUGACGGUACCUCGAAAACAAGCCACGGCUAACUACGUG